UAAAAUUCAGAGGAAGAGAAGUCUUGUAUGAAGGUGAAGAGCCAUGUUUGGUAGCCAGGGAUGACUUGCCUAAUUAGAUCUCAUAUGUGCAAAAGUUACUGACAAGUUAACGCUUGAGCCUAUAUAUAUUAGGAUUUCUAGRUAAGCAAGUUGUCCUUCGGCUUGUCUGACUGGCUCUUAUCUUUCAUGCUAGACUUUCCUCUCUUCCAUGCAU
rnacentral:pre_miRNA from 1 species